AUGCGGUUACUUUCGAUUACGUGAAUGGAUCAUGAAGUCGAAAUGUGGGGAAAUCAUAACCAAGGCAAGAUUUUUUGGAAACCGAUUCGGAUGAUAUUCUGGGUGUAUUAUAUUCCUUGUAAUAUAGCGUGCCCCACGAUUUUCAUAUGAUGAACCAGAUAAAAUGUUCUAUUUCGCCGGCAAAUUGACACAAAAAAAGAAGACGGAUGGCAAUAGCGAUUAAAAUUA